UACGGGGGGUGCAAGCGUUAAUCGGAAUCACUGGGCGUAAAGGGUGCGUAGGCGGUACGUUAGGUCUGUUGUGAAAUCCCCGGGCUCAACCUGGGAAUGGCGGUAGAAACCGGCGAACUAGAGUAUGGGAGAGGGUGGUGGAAUUCCAGGUGUAGCGGUGAAAUGCGUAGAGAUCUGGAGGAACAUCAGUGGCGAAGGCGGCCACCUGGCCCAAUACUGACGCUGAGGCACGAAAGCGUGGGGAGCAAACAGG
rnacentral:rRNA from 1 species